rnacentral:lncRNA from 1 species
UCAAUAGUUUUAGGAUAGCUUUAGUUUUUAGUUUUCUUUUCUUUUCUUUUCUAACAAAAGGCGCACGCCGACUGUUCGACAAAAUUUUCCAACGGGAACAACACCUUUCACUUUGUGCUUUCUAGUGAAAAACUGCAUGUCUUUGCAGUCAAUUAAUUUGCAUGAAGAUUUAUUUAUGCGGCGUGGCUAAGCCUUCCAUCUAGUCAAGGGUCAACUCGACGGCGCAGUCUCAAAAAUCUGUGAGAUCUAAUUAGUUUUCACGCGUUGCUCAAUUUAUUAAUAUUUGCAUGUUGUCUACUUGAAUUUUUAUGGGAUUAUUUUAUUAAUUGAAUGUCAAGGGCCCGAUAUUC